AACGAACGCUGGCGGCAGGCCUAACACAUGCAAGUCGAACGUGAAGCCAGAGCUUGCUCUGGUGGAAAGUGGCAGACGGGUGAGUAACGCGUGGGAACCUACCCAGUAGUACGGAACAACAGUUGGAAACGACUGCUAAUACCGUAUACGCCCUUCGGGGGAAAGAGUUUAUCGCUAUUGGAGGGGCCCGCGCUGGAUUAGCUUGUUGGUGAGGUAACGGCUCACCAAGGCGACGAUCCAUAGCUGGUCUGAGAGGAUGAUCAGCCACACUGGGACUUAGACACGGCCCAGACUCCUACGGGAGGCAGCAGUGGGGAAUAUUGGACAAUGGGCGCAAGCCUGAUCCAGCCAUGCCGCGUGGGUGAAGAAGGCCCUAGGGUUGUAAACCCCUUUCAGCGGGGAAGAUAAUGACGGUACCCGCAGAAGAAGCCCCGGCUAACUCCGUG
rnacentral:rRNA from 1 species